rnacentral:rRNA from 1 species
AUACUAGGCGUGGCUUGUAUCGACCCGAGCCGUGCCGGAGAUAACGCGUUAAGUAUCCCGCCUGGGGAGUACGCACGCAAGUGUGAAACUCAAAGGAAUUGACGGGGGGCCCGCACAAGCGGUGGAGUAUGUGGUUUAAUUCGAUGCAACGCGAAGAACCUUACCAAGACUUGACAUGUCGCGAACCCUCUGGAAAGGGAGGGGUGCCUUCGGGAGCGCGAACACAGGUGGUGCAUGGCUGUUGUCAGCUCGUGUCGUGAGAUGUUGGGUUAAGUCCCGCAACGAGCGCAACCCUCGUUUUUAGUUGCCAGCAUUAAGUUGGGCACUUUAGAGAGACUGCCGGUGACAAACCGGAGGAAGGUGGGGAUGACGUCAAGUCAGCAUGCCCCUUACGUCUUGGGGUACACACGUAGUACAAUGCUACGGACAAAGGGCAGCGAGCUAGCGAUAGCAAGCAAAUUUCAUAAACCGUGGUUCAGUUCAGAUCGCAGG